rnacentral:lncRNA from 1 species
GGCACUUGAAAGGUUGCACUAACAAAUGGAUGAGUUGAUCGAACCCUCAAAGGUUCAAAGCGCCUUGGAAGUGAAUGAAAGUCAAAAACCUUCCUUGGAGAUUGAAAGUGAGAACCUUUUCUUGGCACUUGACCAAACCAAGAAGAACUCCCAAAUGCUCAAGAUGAGAAAAUAAUGCUCACGUUGGAGACCAUUCUUGAAAAUGAGGAGAAGCAUAACUUUGCACUCGAGGACUUGAAACAAGGCUUGAAUUACAAUGAUGAACACAUUCGCACUUUGGAAGACCAAAUGUGAAAAUUGGUUGAGGCUCACUAUGCCUAACAACUUGAGUGUGUGGAAGAAAGCCAAGAAGAGUCCAAUUUGGAGGAAGAAAGUGAGCUUUAUUUGAGGAGUCAAGAAUUGAACAUCCGCCAACCAACUGAAUGAGUGUUAUUGAUGCCGACAAAAAUAUGGAAUUGGAGUCAACCAGUAAAUUUGCAAUAUUUGUUGAUGUUGACCAUAAUCUGGGGGAAAAAGAGGAUGUCAAGAUAGACAAAUUGCAAAGUUAAGGCUUAAAUCACAUUCCAAGCAUUUUUCAACGUAGGAAUUAUGUGGUGACGCUGAAGUUGAACCUCAUGAAUCAAUGAGGAGUGCGAGGAGGAAAAACCCAAGCCAUACAUUUUACAGUUUGAGGAGACAAGGAAUCAAAAGGACAUCCCUCACUUGAAAACCAAGAAGUGCAAAAUGAAGUUUUUAAGCAUUGGCUCGAACAUCAAAUUACCCCCCCCCCCAUCGCUCGUGGUCACAAGCCUUAUUCCAAGCUAGGUGGCCAAUUCAUAUCAUCCAAGUGGCGAGAAAAGUGGUAAUGUUGUUCCCGUCGUGUCACGACGUUAUAUGCGGUGCUUGGUGGUAGGCAACCCAUCAUUUUUCAAAAUUUUUCAUUAUUUUUGAAAUUUUCUUUUCUAGAAUAGCUUAGAAUAUUAUUUUUGACUAAUAUGCCCAGUUUUAGAAUUUUUUGAGUUGAUUUGAGCAGGUCGGGAUGACCGGGUAGGCAAAAUCCAUUAGCUGUUGGAACUGUGUGGGCAAUCUCUGCUAAAAUCGCGUCUGCGGUAAUUUGACCGCAUCUGCAGUACCGCAGAAGCGUAAAUUACAACGCAAAAGCGAAACAUACCGCAGAAGCGGCCAUUUGGUCACGUACGCAGAACCGCUGAAGCGGCAAAAAAAUCGCUGAAGCAAAAAACUGCCCAGGUUUGAAAGAGAAAAAGAAGUUUAAACGGGUCAUUUGCCCAAAAUCAAAAGCUCUCUGCUCCUACUGCCCUAACUCCCCAAAAACGAACAGGUCUUCAAAAAUUGAACAAGGUUGCUCAUAAUUACAUUUCUCUUGCCCGACUUCAGUUAUUAUCUUCCGUCUUCUCUUCUCAAUCUUCAUAUCUCACUUCUCAUUCUUGAUUUUCAAUAGAAUUUUCUAUUUAUUUAUUUGGUUUCAAAUCUUUAAUUCAUCAUUUUUCAUGUUUUGGAUUCUGGUUUCUAAGCUUAGAAAGUGAGGAUUUGGUUGAGUGUGAGUGUGUGUGCUGUGUAAAUUGAACAAAAUUGGGGAAAGUCUUGAGUACCCCAUUUUUGUGAAAGAAUGUUCAUCUUCACUCGCGCGCAAUGUGCUCGACACAAUGCAUGAGUUAAAAGCUUGUGCGAAAUGGCAUCACUUUGGUCCUCAUUGAAUCUUUU